rnacentral:rRNA from 1 species
GACGAACGCUGGCGGCGUGCUUAACACAUGCAAGUCGAACGGUAAGGCCCUUCGGGGUACACGAGUGGCGAACGGGUAAGUAACACGUGGGUGAUCUACCCUGCACUUCGGGAUAAGCCUGGGAAACUGGGUCUAAUACCGGAUAGGACGCCGGACUGCACGGUCUGGGGUGGAAAGCUUUUGCGGUAUGGGAUGGGCCCGCGGCCUAUCAGCUUGUUGGUGGGGUGAUGGCCUACCAAGGCGACGACGGGUAGCCGGCCUGGGAGGGUGACCGGCCACACUGGGACUGAGAUACGGCCCAGACUCCUACGGGAGGCAGCAGUGGGGAAUAUUGCACAAUGGGCGCAAGCCUGAUGCAGCGACGCCGCGUGAGGGAUGACGGCCUUCGGGUUGUAAACCUCUUUCAGUAGGGACGAAGCGCAAGUGACGGUACCUACAGAAGAAGGACCGGCCAACUACGUGCCAGCAGCCGCUGUAA